UCCCAAACUGACAGUGCUGCCCCCCCUGGACACCAGCGGGAGUUCGGCCACGCUCAUGUGCCUGGCUAACGGAGGCUUCCCGUCCGACUGGAGUCUGAGCUGGUCUGUAGCGGGGAGCAGCAGGAGCGGGGAGACCAGUCUCUGGGGCCCACAGAAGGACGGCCUGUACAGCUGGAGCAGCACCCUGACCCUCCCUCUCCAGGAGUGGACCCAGGACGUCCCAGUGACCUGCCAGGCAACACGGGGCUCCCAGACUGUCACCAAGAUCCUGAAGAAAUCAGACUGCUCCUAGGCUCUGCUUUAAUGUCUGCCAUUAUUCUGAUUUAGAGUGUGUCUGAUAGGGACUCUUCCUCUCUUCCUCUCUCUAUGUGUGUGCAGC